rnacentral:rRNA from 1 species
AACGAACGCUGGCGGCAUGCCUAACACAUGCAAGUCGAACGAGACCUUCGGGUCUAGUGGCGCACGGGGGCGUAACACGUGGGAAUCUGCCCUUUGCUUCGGAAUAACAGUUAGAAAUGACUGCUAAUACCGGAUGAUGUCGAAAGACCAAAGAUUUAUCGGCAAAGGAUGAGCCCGCGUAGGAUUAGGUAGUUGGUGGGGUAAAGGCCUACCAAGCCGACGAUCCUUAGCUGGUCUGAGAGGAUGACCAGCCACACUGGGACUGAGACACGGCCCAGACUCCUACGGGAGGCAGCAGUGGGGAAUAUUAGACGAUGGGCGAAAGCGUGAUCCAGCCAUGCCGCGUGAGUGAUGAAGGCCUUAGGGUUGUAAAGCUCUUUUACCAGGGAUGAUAAUGACAGUACCUGGAGAAUAAGCUCCGGCUAACUCCGUG